CACGUAGGGCGCAAGCGUUGUCCGGAAUUAUUGGGCGUAAAGAGCUCGUAGGCGGUCUGUUGCGUCUGCUGUGAAAACCCGGGGCUUAACCCCUGGCUUGCAGUGGAUACGGACAGACUAGAGGUAGGUAGGGGAGAAUGGAAUUCCCGGUGUAGCGGUGAAAUGCGCAGAUAUCAGGAGGAACACCGGUGGCGAAGGCGGGUCUCUGGGCAGUAACUGACGCUGAGGAGCGAAAGCGUGGGGAGCGAACAGG
rnacentral:rRNA from 1 species